rnacentral:rRNA from 1 species
UACGUAGGGGGCAAGCGUUGUCCGGAUUCAUUGGCGUAAAGAGCGUGUAGGCGGCCAGGUAGGUCGGUUGUGAAAACUGGAGGCUCAACCUUCAGACGUCGACCGAAACCAUCUGGCUAGAGUCCGGGAGAGGAGAGUGGAAUUCCUGGUGUAGCGGUGAAAUGCGCAGAUAUCAGGAAGAACACCCGUGGCGAAAGCGGCUCUCUGGAACGGUACUGACGCUGAGACGCGAAAGCGUGGGGAGCGAACAGG